CGCAUUUCUGUCCACAUGGGGCAGGCCGGAGUCCAGAUCAGCAAUGCCUGCUGGGAACUGUACUGUCUGGAACAUGGAAUUCAGCAUAAGGGGCAAAUGCUAAGUGACAAAACCAUCGGUGGUGGGGAUGACUCGUUCAACACAUUCUUCAGCGAGACUGGGGCUGGCAAGCAUGUGCCCAGAGCAGUGUUUGUGGACCUGGAGCCCACGGUGGUCGAUGAAGUGCGCACAGGAACCUACAGGCAGCUCUUCCACCCGGAGCAGCUGAUCACGGGGAAGGAAGACGCAGCCAAUAAUUAUUCCACAGCCAUUUGUAUAGAGCAUAUAAAAUAUACUAUAAACAAAGAGAUCGUCGACCUGGUCCUGGACCGCAUCCGCAAACUGGCGGAUCUGUGCACGGGGCUGCAGGGCUUCCUCAUCUUCCACAGCUUCGGGGGCGGCACCGGCUCUGGGUUUGCAUCUCUGCUCAUGGAGCGGCUCUCGGUGGACUACGGCAAGAAGUCCAAGCUCGAAUUUGCCAUCUAUCCAGACCCCCAGGUAUCCACGGCCGUGGUGGAGCCCUACAACUCCAUCCUGACCACCCACACGACCCUGGAACAUUCCGACUGUGCCUUCAUGGUGGACAACGAAGCCAUCUACGACAUAUGUCGGCGCAACCUGGACAUCGAGCGUCCCACGUACACCAACCUCAAUCGUCUGAUUGGGCAGAUCGUGUCCUCCAUCACGGCCUCCCUGCGCUUCGAUGGGGCCCUGAACGUGGACCUGACGGAGUUCCAGACCAACCUGGUCCCAUACCCCCGCAUCCACUUCCCCCUGGCCACCUACGCGCCCGUCAUCUCAGCCGAGAAGGCCUACCACGAGCAGCUGUCCGUGGCCGAGAUCACCAAUGCCUGCUUCGAGCCGGCCAAUCAGAUGGUCAAGUGUGACCCUCGCCACGGCAAGUACAUGGCCUGCUGCAUGUUGUACAGGGGAGAUGUGGUCCCGAAAGACGUCAACGCGGCAAUUGCCACCAUCAAGACCAAGCGCACCAUCCAGUUUGUGGACUGGUGCCCGACGGGAUUUAAGGUGGGCAUCAACUACCAGCCCCCCACUGUCGUCCCUGGGGGAGACCUGGCCAAGGUACAGCGGGCGGUGUGCAUGCUGAGCAACACCACUGCCAUCGCCGAGGCCCGGGCCCAUCUGGACCGUAAGUUCCAUCUCAUGUACGCAAAGCGAGCCUUUGUGCACUGGUACGUGGGGGAGGGCAUGGAGGAAGGGGAGUUCUCUGAGGCCCGGGAAGACAUGGCAGCUUGAGAAAGAUUACAAAGCGGGCGUGGAUUCCACGGAAGCAGAGGCUGAAGGGGAAGAAUACUGA